rnacentral:rRNA from 1 species
UGGGGAAUUUUGCACAAUGGGGGAAACCCUGAUGCAGCGACGCCGCGUGAUUUAGAAGGCCUUCGGGUUGUAAAAAUCUUUUCUAUGGGAAGAAAAUGACAGUACCAUAGGAAUAAGGACCGGCUAAUUACGUGCCAGCAGCCGCGGUCAUACGUAAGGUCCGAGCGUUGUCCGGAAUCAUUCGGCGUAAAGGGUACGUAGGCGGGUAAGCAAGUUAGGAGUGAAAUCCUAUAGCUCAAUUAUAGUAAGCUUUUAAAACUGCUCAUCUUGAGGUAUGGAAGGGAAAGUGGAAUUCCUAAUGUAGCGGUGAAAUACGCAGAUAUUAGGAGGAAUACCGAUGGCGAAGGCGGCUUUCUGGCCCUAACCUGACGCUGAGGUACGAAAGCGUGGGUAGCAAACAGG